GCUCGAGAGAGUCCGCCGCAGGCGGCACCGAAGGGGCAAAACUCUCAGGUAAAAGGAUCGGGCCG
rnacentral:ncRNA from 1 species